rnacentral:rRNA from 1 species
GAUGAACGCUGGCGGCGUGCCUAAUACAUGCAAGUCGAGCGAACAGACGAGGAGCUUGCUCCUCUGACGUUAGCGGCGGACGGGUGAGUAACACGUGGAUAACCUACCUAUAAGACUGGGAUAACUUCGGGAAACCGGAGCUAAUACCGGAUAAUAUAUUGAACCGCAUUGUUCAAUAGUGAAAGACGGUUUUGCUGUCACUUAUAGAUGGAUCCGCGCCGCAUUAGCUAGUUGGUAAGUUAACGGCUUACCAAGGCAACGAUGCGUAGCCGACCUGAGAGGGUGAUCGGCCACACUGGAACUGGGACACGGUCCAGACUCCUACGGGAGGCAGCAGUAGGGAAUCUUCCGCAAUGGGCGAAAGCCUGACGGAGCAACGCCGCGUGAGUGAUGAAGGUCUUCGGAUCGUAAAACUCUGUUAUUAGGGAAGAACAAAUGUGUAAGUAACUAUGCACGUCUUGACGGUACCUAAUCAGAAAGCCACGGCUAACUACGUG